UACGGAGGGUGCGAGCGUUGAUCGGAAUAACUGGGCGUAAAGGGCACGCAGGCGGGCUUUUAAGUGAGGUGUGAAAUCCCCGGGCUUAACCUGGGAAUAGCAUUUCAAACUGGGAGUCUAGAGUACUUUAGAGAGGAGUGGAAUUCCACGUGUAGCGGUGAAAUGCGUAGAGAUGUGGAGGAAUACCGAAGGCGAAGGCAGCCCCCUGGACAGAGACUGACGCUCAGGUGCGAAAGCGUGGGGAGCAAACAGG
rnacentral:rRNA from 1 species